GACGAACGCUGGCGGCGUGCUUAACACAUGCAAGUCGAACGGUAAGGCCCUUCGGGGUACACGAGUGGCGAACGGGUGAGUAACACGUGGGUGAUCUGCCCUGCACUUUGGGAUAAGCCUGGGAAACUGGGUCUAAUACCAAAUACGACCGCAUCCUGCAUGGGGUGUGGUGGAAAGCUUUUGCGGUGUGGGAUGGGCCCGCGGCCUAUCAGCUUGUUGGUGGGGUGAUGGCCUACCAAGGCGACGACGGGUAGCCGGCCUGAGAGGGUGACCGGCCACACUGGGACUGGGAUACGGCCCAGACUCCUACGGGAGGCAGCAGUGGGGAAUAUUGCACAAUGGGCGCAAGCCUGAUGCAGCGACGCCGCGUGGGGGAUGACGGCCUUCGGGUUGUAAACCUCUUUCAGUAGGGACGAAGCGCAAGUGACGGUACCUAUAGAAGAAGGACCGGCCAACUACGUGCCAGCAGCCGCGGUAAUACGUAGGGUCCGAGCGUUGUCCGGAAUUACUGGGCGUAAAGAGCUCGUAGGUGGUUUGUCACGUUGUUCGUGAAAACCCACAACUCAAUUGUGGGCGUGCGGGCGAUACGGGCAGACUAGAGUACUGCAGGGGAGACUGGAAUUCCUGGUGUAGCGGUGGAAUGCGCAGAUAUCAGGAGGAACACCGGUGGCGAAGGCGGGUCUCUGGGCAGUAACUGACGCUGAGGAGCGAAAGCGUGGGGAGCGAACAGGAUUAGAUACCCUGGUAGUCCACGCCGUA
rnacentral:rRNA from 1 species